AACGAACGCUGGCGGCAGGCUUAACACAUGCAAGUCGAGCGCCCCGCAAGGGGAGCGGCAGACGGGUGAGUAACGCGUGGGAACGUACCUUUUGGUUCGGAACAACUCCGGGAAACUGGAGCUAAUACCGGAUAAGCCCUAACGGGAAAGAUUUAUCGCCGAAAGAUCGGCCCGCGUCUGAUUAGCUAGUUGGUGAGGUAACGGCUCACCAAGGCGACGAUCAGUAGCUGGUCUGAGAGGAUGAUCAGCCACACUGGGACUGAGACACGGCCCAGACUCCUACGGGAGGCAGCAGUGGGGAAUAUUGGACAAUGGGCGCAAGCCUGAUCCAGCCAUGCCGCGUGAGUGAUGAAGGCCUUAGGGUUGUAAAGCUCUUUUGUCCGGGAAGAUAAUGACUGUACCGGAAGAAUAAGCCCCGGCUAACUUCGUG
rnacentral:rRNA from 1 species